AACGAACGCUGGCGGCAUGCCUAACACAUGCAAGUCGAACGAGACCUUCGGGUCUAGUGGCGCACGGGUGCGUAACGCGUGGGAACCUGCCUUGAGGUUCGGAAUAACUCAGAGAAAUUUGAGCUAAUACCGGAUAAUGUCUUCGGACCAAAGAUUUAUCGCCUUUAGAUGGGCCCGCGUUGGAUUAGCUUGUUGGUGGG
rnacentral:rRNA from 1 species